AGCAGCCGCGGUAAUUCCAGCUCCAAUAGCGUAUAUUAAAGUUGUUGCAGUUAAAAAGCUCGUAGUUGAAUUUCGGGAUCAAUAUGUCUGUCGUGCCUUCGGUACGUACGGGUAUAAUUGGUUUCUACCUUCUGAUGAACUUUGAUGCCAUUAAUUUGGUGUCUUGGGGACUCAGGACUGUUACCUUGAAAAAAUUAGAGUGUUUAAAGCAGGCAUACGCUUGAAUACAUUAGCACGGGAUAAUGAAAUAGGACGUUCGAUUCUAUUUUGUUGGUUUCUAGGAUCGACGUAAUGAUUAAUAGGGAUAGUUGGGGGCAUUAGUAUUCAAUUGUCAGAGGUGAAAUUCUUGGAUUUAUUGAAGACUAACUACUGCGAAAGCAUUUGCCAGGGAUGUUUUCAUUAAUCAAGAACGAAAGUUAGGGGAUCGAAGACGAUCAGAUACCGUCGUAGUCUUAACCAUAAACUAUGCCGACUAGGGAUCGGAUGAUGUAAUUUUUAAUGACUCAUUCGGCGCCUUACG
rnacentral:rRNA from 1 species